AUGGUGUCUUUAUAUGGAGGCGCCAAUAGGUAGGAAAGAUAUUAGGGCAACAGGGCUUUAAUUCCCGAAAUAGGAGCUUCCUUAUUUGUCGGGAACAACCUCGGGAUCACUCCGUCUGCUUGUUCCGCUUAAGAAUAGUCCCGGGACUGUUCGCCUUGAGUGUUCUUCGCAGGAAUGCUCCAAAAGGACAGCUUCUCUUCAAGCACCCUCUCUUCACUCUUCUACCACCUCCAGACCUGUAAAAGAUCAAAAAGGACUAGACUGACACGGAUUAAGGACUCGAAUCAAUACGAAAAC
rnacentral:lncRNA from 1 species